UGCAAGUCAAGGAGAACGCUUCCUUCGGGGAGUUAUUAAACUGGCGCACGGGUGAGUAACGCGUAGAUUAUCUGCCCCAAUCACAGGCAUAACACAGGGAAACUUGUGCUAAUAUCUGAUGAGGCCUUCGGGUCAAAGCCUUCGGGUGGUAAGGGAUGAGUCUGCGUCUGAUUAGAUAGUUGGUGAGGUAAUGGCUCACCAAGUCUACGAUCAGUAGCGGGUCUGAGAGGAUGGUCCGCCACACUGGAACUGAGACACGGUCCAGACUCCUACGGGAGGCAGCAGUGAGGAAUUUUGGUCAAUGGGGGAAACCCUGAACCAGCGACGCCGUGUGUGGGAUGAAGGGGUUCUGCUCUGUAAACCACUGUCGGACAGGAAAAAAAGCUACUUAGAGUGGCUGGGAUUGUACUGUCAAAGGAAGGACCGGCUAACUACGUGCCAGCAGCCGCGGUAAUACGUAGGGUCCAAGCGUUAUCCGGAUUUACUGGGCUUAAAGGGUGCGCAGGCGGUUUUUCACGUCUGGGGUUAAAUAUCACGGCUCAACCGUGAAGAUGCCUCGGAAACGGGAGAACUUGAAUAUGAGAGAGGUAAGUGGAAUUCCUGGUGUAGCGGUGAAAUGCGUAGAUAUCAGGAGGAAUACCAGUGGCGAAGGCGGCCUACUGGCUCAUUAUUGACGCUCAUGUACGAAAGCGUGGGUAGCGAACAGGAUUAGAUACCCUGGUAGUCCACGCCCUAAACGAUGUAUGCUUGGUGUUUGUAUUUUAUUGUAGUGCCGGAGGGAAACCGUUAAGCAUACCGCCUGGGGAGUACGAUCGCAAGGUUGAAACUCAAAGGAAUUGACGGGGGCCCGCACAAGCGGUGGAUUAUGUGGUUUAAUUCGAUGCAACGCGAAGAACCUUACCUGGGCUUGAAGUGCACAGGACAAUUAGUGAAAGCUAGUCUCUCUUCGGAGUCUCUGCAGAGGUGCUGCACGGCUGUCGUCAGCUCGUGCCGUGAGGUGUUGGGUUAAGUCCCGCAACGAGCGCAACCCCUAUCUUUAGUUGCCAUCAGGUAAUGCUGGGAACUCUAAAGAGACUGCCCGCGCAAGCGGUGAGGAAGGCGGGGACGACGUCAAGUCAUCAUGGCCCUUACGUCUUGGGCUACACACGUAAUACAAUGGCAGGCACAGAAGGCGAAGCCGCGAGGUGGAGAUAAUCCCAAAAGCCUGUCUCAGUUCGGAUCGGAGUCUGCAACUCGACUCCGUGAAGUUGGAAUCGCUAGUAAUCGUGGAUCAGCGUGCCACGGUGAAUACGUUCCCGGGCCUUGUACACACCGCCCGUCAAGCCAUGGAAGUCGGAGGCGCCCGAAGCGGUAUUUUAAUACCGU
rnacentral:rRNA from 1 species